UACGAGGGGUCCUAGCGUUGUUCGGAAUCAUUGGGCGUAAAGAGUAUGUAGGCGGCUAGAUAAGUCAGGUGUGAAAUCCCCGGGCUCAACCCGGGAAGUGCAUUUGAUACUGUUUAGCUUGAGUAUGGAAGAGGGUAGUGGAAUUCCUGGUGUAGUGGUGAAAUACGUAGAUAUCAGGAGGAACACCGGUGGCGAAGGCGGCUACCUGGUCCUAUACUGACGCUGAGAUACGAAAGCGUGGGGAGCAAACAGG
rnacentral:rRNA from 1 species